UUGUCUCAAAGAUUAAGCCAUGCAUGUCUCAGUACAAGCCAAAUUAAGGUGAAACCGCGAAAGGCUCAUUAAAUCAGUUAUGGUUCCUUAGAUCGUACCUACGUUACUUGGAUAACUGUGGUAAUUCUAGAGCUAAUACAUGCAAACAGAGCUCCGACCGGAGACGGAAGGAGCGCUUUUAUUAGAUCAAAACCAAUCGGUGGCGGUUUCCGUCAUCGUACAACUUGGUGACUCUGAAUAACUUUACGCUGAUCGCACGGUCUUGCACCGGCGACGCAUCUUUCAAAUGUCUGCCUUAUCAACUGUCGAUGGUAGGUUCUGCGCCUACCAUGGUUGUAACGGGUAACGGGGAAUCAGGGUUCGAUUCCGGAGAGGGAGCCUGAGAAACGGCUACCACAUCCAAGGAAGGCAGCAGGCGCGCAAAUUACCCACUCCCGGCACGGGGAGGUAGUGACGAAAAAUAACGAUACGGGACUCAUCCGAGGCCCCGUAAUCGGAAUGAGUACACUCUAAACCCUUUAACGAGGAUCAAUUGGAGGGCAAGUCUGGUGCCAGCAGCCGCGGUAAUUCCAGCUCCAAUAGCGUAUAUUAAAGUUGUUGCGGUUAAAAAGCUCGUAGUCGAAUCUGUGUCCCGCGCCGCCGGUUCAUCGUUCGCGGUGUUAACUGGCGUGUCGCGGGACGUCCUGCCGGUGGGCUUAGCUCGCAAGGGCGGCCCAACUCAAUCCCGCCGCGGUGCUCUUCAUUGAGUGUCGAGGUGGGCCGGCACGUUUACUUUGAACAAAUUAGAGUGCUUAAAGCAGGCUAAAACUUUGCCUGAAUACUGUGUGCAUGGAAUAAUGGAAUAGGACCUCGGUUCUAUUUUGUUGGUUUUCGGAACCCCGAGGUAAUGAUUAAUAGGAACGGAUGGGGGCAUUCGUAUUGCGACGUUAGAGGUGAAAUUCUUGGAUCGUCGCAAGACGGACAGAAGCGAAAGCAUUUGCCAAAAACGUUUUCAUUGAUCAAGAACGAAAGUUAGAGGUUCGAAGGCGAUCAGAUACCGCCCUAGUUCUAACCAUAAACGAUGCCAGCUAGCGAUCCGCCGACGUUCCUCCGAUGACUCGGCGGGCAGCUUCCGGGAAACCAAAGCUUUUGGGUUCCGGGGGAAGUAUGGUUGCAAAGCUGAAACUUAAAGGAAUUGACGGAAGGGCACCACCAGGAGUGGAGCCUGCGGCUUAAUU
rnacentral:rRNA from 1 species